rnacentral:misc_RNA from 1 species
AACGCACAUUGCGCCCUUUGGUAUUCCGAAGGGCAUGCCUGUUCGAGCGUCAUUAAACUCUCAAGCUUUGCUUGGUUUUGAACAAGGUUAUUAGUGACCUGUUUCCAAUACUUCUGGCAGAAUUUACUUGGUUAAACAUAGCAAACUAUUGUUGAACCCUCGUAAACCUCUCCGUAGCAACACUUUAAACUUGACCUCGGAUCAGGUAGGGAUACCCGCUGAACUUAA